rnacentral:rRNA from 1 species
ACGGCUCAGUAACACGUGGAUAACCUGCCCUUGGGUCCGGCAUAACCCCGGGAAACUGGGGAUAAUUCCGGAUAACGCACAUAUGCUGGAAUGCCUUAUGCGUAAAAUGGAUUCGUCUGCCCAAGGAUGGGUCUGCGGCCUAUCAGGUAGUAGUGGGUGUAAUGUACCUACUAGCCUACAACGGGUACGGGUUGUGAGAGCAAGAGCCCGGAGAUGGAUUCUGAGACAUGAAUCCAGGCCCUACGGGGCGCAGCAGGCGCGAAAACUUUACAAUGCGGGAAACCGUGAUAAGGGGACACCGAGUGCCAGCAUCAUAUGCUGGCUGUCCAGGUGUGUAAAAUACACCUGUUAGCAAGGGCCGGGCAAGACCGGUGCCAGCCGCCGCGGUAACACCGGCGGCCCGAGUGGUGAUCGUGAUUAUUGGGUCUAAAGGGUCCGUAGCCGGUUUGGUCAGUCCUCCGGGAAAUCUGACGGCUUAACCGUUAGGCUUUCGGGGGAUACUGCCAGGCUUGGAACCGGGAGAGGUAAGAGGUACUACAGGGGUAGGAGUGAAAUCUUGUAAUCCCUGUGGGACCACCUGUGGCGAAGGCGUCUUACCAGAACAGGUUCGACGGUGAGGGACGAAAGCUGGGGGCACGAACCGGAUUAGAUACCCGGGUAGUCCCAGCCGUAAACGAUGCUCGCUAGGUGUCAGGCAUGGCGCGACCGUGUCUGGUGCCGCAGGGAAGCCGUGAAGCGAGCCACCUGGGAAGUACGGCCGCAAGGCUGAAACUUAAAGGAAUUGGCGGGGGAGCAC